UCUUUUAUUCAACAAAAACACAUUGAAUGGUCACUUUUGUUCUAUUCUCUCUCUUCUCUUUUCCGGAAUUCUCUCUCUUUCAACCAUAACCAUUUUUCCGGCAGACAAAUUCUCACCGGCUGUGCUCCGGUGACUCUUUUCCUUUGUGGAUCUCGCUCUUCCCCGUCGUCCUUGAACGUUGCAUCUCUUCUGCUCCUCCUUCCUCUCCCUCUGUUUCGUUCUGACGGGGCUGGGGUUUGGUGGUGGUGUUUUGCUCCAGUGUUUUCCGGCGCGGUGGUUGGCUUGGUGGUGGUUGGCUCUCUCCACAAGAAUCAAGAGAAGGGAAUAGAAGAGGAAAAGGAAGGAGGAGAAAAUUGACAUUGACUUGGCUAAGAUAGCUGUUGUUAAAAGGAGGAUUGAGUGAGCAAUGGUGCAAAAGAGAGGAUAGAAUGAAACCAAUUUUGAACCUAAAUUAUAGGCUAGUAGUAUUUUGGAAAGCUUAUUGAAUUAAGUAGAAAAAUUAUCAAUAUGUCGUGUUAUUUCUGGGCUUCGAAAUUGUUGCUGGAAAAAGAGAAACAGAGGAAAAGAUAA
rnacentral:lncRNA from 1 species